rnacentral:rRNA from 1 species
CCUACGGGUGGCUGCAGUGGGGAAUAUUGGACAAUGGGGGGAACCCUGAUCCAGCCAUGCCGCGUGUGUGAAGAAGGCCUUUUGGUUGUAAAGCACUUUAAGCGAGGAGGAGGCUCCCUAGAUUAAUACUCUAGGUGAGUGGACGUUACUCGCAGAAUAAGCACCGGCUAACUCUGUGCCAGCAGCCGCGGUAAUACAGAGGGUGCAAGCGUUAAUCGGAUUUACUGGGCGUAAAGCGUGCGUAGGUGGCCAAUUAAGUCAAAUGUGAAAUCCCCGAGCUUAACUUGGGAAUUGCAUUCGAUACUGGUUGGCUAGAGUAUGGGAGAGGAUGGUAGAAUUCCAGGUGUAGCGGUGAAAUGCGUAGAGAUCUGGAGGAAUACCGAUGGCGAAGGCAGCCAUCUGGCCUAAUACUGACACUGAGGUACGAAAGCAUGGGGAGCAAACAGGAUUAGAUACCCGUGUAGUC